rnacentral:rRNA from 1 species
GAUGAACGCUGGCGGCGUGCCUAAUACAUGCCAGUCGAGCGAACAGACGAGGAGCUUGCUCCUCUGACGUUAGCGGCGGACGGGUGAGUAACACGUGGAUAACCUACCUAUAAGACUGGGAUAACUUCGGGAAACCGGAGCUAAUACCGGAUAAUAUAUUGAACCGCAUGGUUCAAUAGUGAAAGACGGUUUUGCUGUCACUUAUAGAUGGAUCCGCGCCGCAUUAGCUAGUUGGUAAGGUAACGGCUUACCAAGGCAACGAUGCGUAGCCGACCUGAGAGGGUGAUCGGCCACACUGGAACUGAGACACGGUCCAGACUCCUACGGGAGGCAGCAGUAGGGAAUUUUCCGCAAUGGGCGAAAGCCUGACGGAGCAACGCCGCGUGAGUGAUGAAGGUCUUCGGAUCGUAAAACUCUGUUAUUCGGGAAGAACAAAUGUGUAAGUAACUAUGCACGUCUUGACGGUACCUUAUCAGAAAGCCACGGCUAACUACGUG